rnacentral:rRNA from 1 species
UCCGUCGGUGCCCCUCUUUUUCCGGCUUUACUGGGCGUAAAGAGCGCGCAGGCGGUCGUUCAAGUCGAGUGUGAAAGCCCCCGGCUCAACUGGGGAGGGUCAUUCGAUACUGAUCGACUCGAAGGCAGGAGAGGGUAGUGGAAUUCCCGGUGUAGUGGUGAAAUGCGUAGAUAUCGGGAGGAACACCAGUGGCGAAGGCGACUACCUGGCCUGUUCUUGACGCUGAGGCGCGAAAGCUAGGGGAGCAAACGGG